CGAUAGUGAACCAGUACCGUGAGGGAAAGGCGAAAAGAACCCCGGCGAGGGGAGUGAAAAAGAACCUGAAACCGUGUACGUACAAGCAGUGGGAGCACAGGUUUACCUGUGUGACUGCGUACCUUUUGUAUAAUGGGUCAGCGACUUAUAUUCUGUAGCAAGGUUAACCGUAUAGGGGAGCCGGAGGGAAACCGAGUCUUAAUUGGGCGUUAAGUUGCAGGGUAUAGACCCGAAACCCGGUGAUCUAGCCAUGGGCAGGUUGAAGGUUGGGUAACACUAACUGGAGGACCGAACCGACUAAUGUUGAAAAAUUAGCGGAUGACCUGUGGCUGGGGGUGAAAGGCCAAUCAAACCGGGAGAUAGCUGGUUCUCCCCGAAAGCUAUUUAGGUAGCGCCUCGUGAAUUCAUCUCCGGGGGUAGAGCACUGUUUCGGCUAGGGGGCCAUCCCGGCUUACCAACCCGAUGCAAACUGCGAAUACCGGAGAAUGUUAUCACGGGAGACACACGGCGGGUGCUAACGUCCGUCGUGAAGAGGGAAACAACCCAGACCGCCAGCUAAGGUCCCAAAGUCAUGGUUAAGUGGGAAACGAUGUGGGAAGGCCCAGACAGCCAGGAUGUUGGCUUAGAAGCAGCCAUCAUUUAAAGAAAGCGUAAUAGCUCACUGGUCGAGUCGGCCUGCGCGGAAGAUGUAACGGGGCUAAACCAUGCACCGAAGCUGCGGCAGCGAACGUAUCACCCAAGACAACUUUACGGAGUUGACGAUUGACGGAGCGAAGCGACGUCAAAGCGUUCAUUAAAGUCGAGUUGGCUUAGGGAUACGUUCGUUGGGUAGGGGAGCGUUCUGUAAGCCUGUGAAGGUGUGUCGUGAGGCAUGCUGGAGGUAUCAGAAGUGCGAAUGCUGACAUAAGUAACGAUAAAGCGGGUGAAAAGCCCGCUCGCCGGAAGACCAAGGGUUCCUGUCCAACGUUAAUCGGGGCAGGGUGAGUCGACCCCUAAGGCGAGGCCGAAAGGCGUAGUCGAUGGGAAACGGGUUAAUAUUCCCGUACUUGGUGUUACUGCGAAGGGGGGACGGAGAAGGCUAUGUUGGCCGGGCGACGGUUGUCCCGGUUUAAGCGUGUAGGUGUGUGUUCCAGGUAAAUCCGGUUCACUUUAACACUGAGGCGUGACGACGAGGCACUACGGUGCUGAAGCAACAAAUGCCCUGCUUCCAGGAAAAGCCUCUAAGCAUCAGGUAACAUCAAAUCGUACCCCAAACCGACACAGGUGGUCAGGUAGAGAAUACCAAGGCGCUUGAGAGAACUCGGGUGAAGGAACUAGGCAAAAUGGUGCCGUAACUUCGGGAGAAGGCACGCUGACACGUAGGUGAAGUGAUUUACUCAUGGAGCUGAAGUCAGUCGAAGAUACCAGCUGGCUGCAACUGUUUAUUAAAAACACAGCACUGUGCAAACACGAAAGUGGACGUAUACGGUGUGACGCCUGCCCGGUGCCGGAAGGUUAAUUGAUGGGGUCAGCGCAAGCGAAGCUCCUGAUCGAAGCCCCGGUAAACGGCGGCCGUAACUAUAACGGUCCUAAGGUAGCGAAAUUCCUUGUCGGGUAAGUUCCGACCUGCACGAAUGGCGUAAUGAUGGCCAGGCUGUCUCCACCCGAGACUCAGUGAAAUUGAACUCGCUGUGAAGAUGCAGUGUACCCGCGGCAAGACGGAAAGACCCCGUGAACCUUUACUAUAGCUUGACACUGAACAUUGAGCCUUGAUGUGUAGGAUAGGUGGGAGGCUUUGAAGUGUGGACGCCAGUCUGCAUGGAGCCGACCUUGAAAUACCACCCUUUAAUGUUUGAUGUUCUAACGUGGACCCGUAAUCCGGGUUGCGGACAGUGUCUGGUGGGUAGUUUGACUGGGGCGGUCUCCUCCUAAAGAGUAACGGAGGAGCACGAAGGUUGGCUAAUCCUGGUCGGACAUCAGGAGGUUAGUGCAAUGGCAUAAGCCAGCUUGACUGCGAGCGUGACGGCGCGAGCAGGUGCGAAAGCAGGUCAUAGUGAUCCGGUGGUUCUGAAUGGAAGGGCCAUCGCUCAACGGAUAAAAGGUACUCCGGGGAUAACAGGCUGAUACCGCCCAAGAGUUCAUAUCGACGGCGGUGUUUGGCACCUCGAUGUCGGCUCAUCACAUCCUGGGGCUGAAGUAGGUCCCAAGGGUAUGGCUGUUCGCCAUUUAAAGUGGUACGCGAGCUGGGUUUAGAACGUCGUGAGACAGUUCGGUCCCUAUCUGCCGUGGGCGCUGGAGAACUGAGGGGGGCUGCUCCUAGUACGAGAGGACCGGAGUGGACGCAUCACUGGUGUUCGGGUUGUCAUGCCAAUGGCACUGCCCGGUAGCUAAAUGCGGAAGAGAUAAGUGCUGAAAGCAUCUAAGCACGAAACUUGCCCCGAGAUGAGUUCUCCCUGAGACUUAGAGUCUCCUGAAGGAACGUUGAAGACGACGACGUUGAUAGGCCGGGUGUGUAAGCGCAGCGAUGCGUUGAGCUAACCGGUACUAAUGAACCGUGAGGCUUAACCUUACAACGCCGAAG
rnacentral:rRNA from 1 species